rnacentral:misc_RNA from 1 species
UCUCCGUUGGUGGACCAGCGGAGGGAUCAUUACAGGACUCGCAAGACUCCUUCACCCUGUGAACCUCACUACAAGCACGUUGCUUCGGCGGGUGUCCCGGCGGGGGUUUUCCCUCGCCGGGGCGCACAGCCCGCCGGCAGCCUACUAUACUCUGUCUCUUUGCGUUGGCAUCUCGAGAAAAAACAAACAAGUUAAAACUUUCAACAACGGAUCUCUUGGUUCUG